GGUGCGGUGGAGACUGGGGCGGGGCUGGGGGGUGGGCAGCAGGUCCUUGCAUAUCAGUCACUGUCACUUUAUGUUCUGGGGACUACCCCUGUUCUCCAAGGACUGACUUUCACAGUUGGAAUUUCCAGCCCUCGGGAGACAGAGAAGGCAAAGGGACAAAGCACUUGGGAGGUAGCAGCCUUCUAAAAGAAACACUGCCUCUGCUUGGGGACACGUACUGAGGAAGGAGGAAAAGGGAGAGGAGGAGAGAGAAACCCCUGAGUGCUGACCCACAGGGGCCCCUUUUAUGGCCUUCCUGUUUAUGGCUGAGAAGUAAACAGCCUGGGAGCCAGGUCGUCUCCGAAGGCAGCUGGGGCACUGCUUGAGCUGGCUGGGGACCCUCUCUUUCUGGGUGGCAAUGGGCGGGGAAUCUGCCAGUCACGAAAGUCUCAGAGGACUUAUUUUUUUUUUAAACCAGCAUCUUGGGGCAUUUUCCCUUCAGCUCACACCAUCUGCUUUACCCUCCUCAUUGGUCCUGCAGCUUUCGGUGGUGGGAGGGGGUGGUGCAGGGGGGCACAGCUGGGAAUCUGUGUGCAGGCAAGGGGUGAGUAUCCCAGCUGCGACACUUAGCAGCUGCGUGACCUCAGGCGAGCCCUGCACCUCUCUGAGCCUCUUCUGUAGCUGGGUAGGAGGAUGUGGAGACUGCCUGUGAACAGCCCUGACAACUUGCCUGGCGUGUGGUAAGUGUCAAUACACGUUUACUGCUCCCCUGAUGAUUUCAACUGCCCUCCUGACUAAGCCCCCAGGGUCUUAGCUGACGGGAGGGGGUGGGGGGCUGAGGUGGGAGGAGGGGUCAGGCCCGCCUCUGAGAGGUUCCCUGGCCUCGGUCCAGACAGUCGCUCUCUCUCUGGAUCGGAACCUGCGGUACUCUGCCUCCUGAGAAAUGCGGGCUGUGAUGGACGACUAGAUGGUGCCCCAACUAAGAUGAAGAACACGGCGCCGGGGGCAGCAGACACCAGGAGAAUCAAUAAACUAUAAUUAUCAAGAUCGGUGUCUGUGAGAGGUGUGGAGUCCUGUGGACAGAGAGAGACAGAGGAGGGGGCGAGAGCGAGACACACACGCACAUCCUGAGAGAUGCAGAAGACGCAUGCGCCCAAGGAAGCGAAAGCCAGAAGGGAGAAGCAGAAUGGGUGUGAUGUACACAGGCCCUCCACCCCUGCGCCGCAGCCCCCCGGCCCCAUCCUUGCUGAUGGGCCUGGCAGAAGGUGCAAGAGCAGGUCUCUCACCUAUUUAUAUAGCCCUCAGCUUUUUAAAUUUUCCAAGUCCCCAGCCAUAUCAGUUUUUUGCAUUACAAAAAGAAUAUCAGCGCCUCAAUAUAAGAAUGGAUUCCACUGAUAACAUCGAUCCAUUCAUUUGAUUAGGCUGAGAUGCGAAGUCAAUAUAGAUUGCAAUAUAUUGCUUUAGAAACAUGACUUUCACAUCACCAGGGUCUUCAUCGUCCCUGAGUUUACCACUGUCCUCUGGGCCCACCACCACUCCAAGCGGUUUUUGACCCAGCACUUCUGGAACUGAUGUAGGAGACUGUCACCAGGAGUUCUUGAGGAGCCUCGUGUACCCGCUGCUGUUAGUGAGCUCUGCCAUGUUGCCACUUAACUUGAUAUAGUGUGAAGCCCUCUUGAAAUGCUACCUUUUCUGAUCCCCAACACUUGAGGUCUCACCACUCCCCCGAGAAAGGAUUAUUGAAUCUGUGUUCAUUUUCUUGGCCCCAUUUGAUCUGGGAACCUAGUGACCUUUAUCAGCACACAACUGGCCUGAAUUGAAGUCAUUUGGGGUUGGUGUGUCUUCUGAAUUUAUUAGAGAGGUUCUCAUAGGAGGCAUGCUUUUGUGACACUCAGAUUGUGAGAGUCCCUCCCCAUGUCCUUUUUUAAGGUUAGUAUUUUUUUUUUUUUAACAAACACAUGCAAACUAGUUUUACUUUGGGCUUUAUUGUGUGCCUGGCACCAGUCUAAGCAUUUUACAAGCAUUAUCUCAGUCAGUGUUUAAUCUCAACGGCACCAAUUCUUCUCUCAUUUGUGGGAGCUAUUUCUUCCCUCCCUGUCACAGAGCUCACAGGUGGCCGAGCUUAGUGGAUGCCCAGGCCAGCCUGGAAGCCCGGGGCCAUCGCCACCUUUCCCAGAGAGGAAACUGAGCCUGAACAGAUUAACACCCAGGGCCUCACAGCUCACCAGAGUUAAAGUGACCAGACUGGGUUGGAUCAGGCCCCCCACCUCCCAGAGAAGUUGAAGUGAAAAUGAAGGUACACAGUAAAACCCAGCCUGCACUGGGGGUCUCCAGGAUGGUCCCACACUUCCCCCCGUCUCCUUCCUACCACCUUGAACGAUGCACACAGCCUUUCCAGCUCUAGGGGACACAUGGCCGCCCAGGAUCCCAGGCGGCAGGGACACAGGGCUCCUCUGAAUUCUCUUUUCAUUCUGGAUUGGGGACAUCCAGAAAGCUCCCUCUGGCUUGGAAGCAGAAGGAAGAAACCUGUGUGUGUCCACUUGGCUGAGGGACCCUUGGUGAGAAGACUGUUCCUGGGUUUGGGGUGGCCGCCAGGCACAGGCACCCACACCUCUCACCUGGUGCAGGAGAGUGAUGGACACCUGCACAGCCGCCCGUUUGGGUUUCUCUCUCUCAUCACCCAGCUCUCUAAUCAGCCAGUGCAGCCUCCACCUUUGGGAAAGGAGAAUGUGAUUUCUACUUUGUUUCUUUCUCUCUUUUUUUUUUUUUUUUUGUUAUUUCGAAUUAACCUGGGGCAAAGUGCUGCAGGGAGUUUCCCUUUGUUCCUAUCUUUUCUUUUUUGUUUUGUGUCAGUUUCAACUGUAUACAACUGUUGGAGAGUUUAAUUUGGAUACAAUGAAGGCAGAUACCAGAAACAUAAAUUACUUUCAAGACUCUGAGCUUUGAGAAUUGGUUAGGAUUCUUUCCCCUUUCAAAACUCAGUGCAAGUUUUCUACUCAGUAACUUAUUCUCUUACUUGAUAAGAUAUCAUAGAGAAAGGAUGGCUUAAAAAAAAAAAAAAAGAAAUGCUGUGUGUGUGUGUCCCUGUGUGUUUUCUACUUUAAUGAAAAGAAAAGCAGAAACACAGAAUGAUACUCUGUUAAGAAACGGCUACCUAAUUUAUGCCUCCCCCCAAACCCCUUUCCAUUUUGGUAACCAUAAGUUUGUUUUCUAUGACUGUGAGUCUCUUUCUGUUUUCUAAAUAAGUUCAUUUGUAUUAUUAUUAUUUUUUUUUGUUCCACAUAUAAGUGAUAUCAUAUAUUUGUCUUUGUCUGGCUUACUUUAUUUAGUCUGAUUAUCUUGAAUUAGAAAGUUGGACUAACAUAUGCACACUACAACAUAUAAAAUAGAUAAGCAACAAGGGAACUAUACUCAAUAUUUUGUAAUAACUUAUAAGGGAAAAAAAUCUGAAAAGGAAUACACACACACAUAUAUAUAUAACUAAAUCACUGCUGUGCAUAUCUGAAACUAACACAAUAUUGUAAAUCAACUAUACUUCAAUUUAAAAAAUAUUAACUUCACCAGAGGAAAAAGAAAGAAAGAAACAGGUUUUCUGCUCAGCAAACAUUACCCUAUGGGUUGCUUACAAGUAGGGUUCCUUACAACCAGGGCUGGCUUUCUCCAGUUUUAUCGACUUCAAACCCAAAUUAUGCUGACUCUUAAAAGACAUUCAGAACUAAAAAUGUGAGACUUUACAAAAGGCUUAAAACAUGGAAAGGCUGUGGAGCAGAUUCUCUUUGAACUCAAGUUGCAUGAGGUAGAGGAAACUUUUCCGCAAAUUUAGCCCAUGGGUUUCUGUUUUACUGGGGGAGAAAGGGCCAUCUGUGUCACCCUGAGCCAAGGAAUCAUUUUAAUUAGAUGUUUUUGCACUUGCUUUAGAUGCGUGGAGAGGUUUGGAAGCUCUAGGAGAAGAAAGAAGUUGGGAACAAAUAAUUGCCUGCACCUUCUCUCCUGCCCAGAGGAAAGAGCCAGGAAAUAGGAAGAUUUCCAAGCCAAAGUCUGCAACUCAUCCAUGGGGCCACAGGAUGAUGCACAUCGCUGACUGGACUCAGGACCCCUGGAGUCUGCCAUGGCCCACAAAUGCCUUGAACUAAACAUACUUCAGGGAUGCUGACAUCUAUAAACUUAUGAGUCUGAUGAGGUCUCCACUGCUAAUUAACCUCUUGAAGCCUUCUUUUGCUCUUUGUGUUUUUUAUUGUAAAGUGGGCAAAAUGGUAGUGUCUACCUGUCUUAGUCCUAGUCCAUUCAGGCUGCUCUAACAAUAUAUCACAAACAGUGAGGUGGCUUUUAAAUGAGACAUUUAUUUCUCAUAGCUCUGGAGGCUGGAAGUCCAAGACUGGGGGGUCCAGUAUGGUUGGAUGAGGGCCCUCUUCUGGGUUGUAGAUAUCUCAAUAUACACUUAUGAGGGUAGAAAGGGACAGCAGAAGUGAUUUAUCAGGAGGCUCCUUAUAUAAGGCACUAAUACCAUUCAUGAGGGCUGCACCCUUGUGACAUAAGCACCUCUCCAAGGCUUCACCUCCUGACCUUGUGUGUAGGUUCAGUCACUCAGUCAUGUCCAGCUCUCUAUGGCUUCAUGGACUGUAGACUGCCAGCCUCCUCUGUCCAUGGAAUUUUCUAGUUAAGAGUACUGGAGUGGGUUAACAUGCCUUCUCCAGGGAUUCUUCCUGACCCAGGGAUUGAACUUGUGUCUCUUUCAUCUCCUGCGCUGGCAAGUGGAUUCUUUACCACUCCACCACCAUCACCUUGGGGGCUAAGACUUCCACAUAUGAACUUUGAGGGGACACGAGCAUUCAGGUUGUAGUACUACCUCAAAGACUGCAUUAGGUUUUCCAUGAGGAAAUUAUAAAGCAUUUCAAUGACUGUUUGGUUUAUGCCAAAACUCAAACUAAAUGGUGACUGUCUGUGACUUGCCAUUUUUGUGCCCAUUUUCUCAUUUGGAAAACAGGAUAAACAAUAAAUAACCCUCAUACUCUA